rnacentral:rRNA from 1 species
UGGCGGACGGGUGAGUAACGCGUGGGUAACCUGCCUCAUACAGGAGGAUAACAGUUAGAAAUGACUGCUAAUACCGCAUAAGACCACAGCACCGCAUGGUGCAGGGGUAAAAACUCCGGUGGUAUGAGAUGGACCCGCGUCUGAUUAGGUAGUUGGUGGGGUAACGGCCUACCAAGCCGACGAUCAGUAGCCGACCUGAGAGGGUGACCGGCCACAUUGGGACUGAGACACGGUCCAA